AUGCUCCUUCUUGAAACCCAGCCACCAUGCUGUGAGGAAGCUCAAGCCACACAGAAGCCAUGGAGAGGUGCUCCUUCUGAUAACCCCUGCUAAAGUCCCACCCAGCAGCCAGCAACAAUCACUAGAUAUAACACACAGCUAGGAGGCUGCAAGGGUGAGGUCGUUAUUGAUUCAUUGAUUCAACAUGUAUUUUGGAGCCCCUGCAAUAUACCACUCUCCAUGCCAGGCCCUAAGAAGAAGACAGAUGAGGCUUUUGCACUUGUACUCCAGCAUAGCAAACAGGUGAUAAGAAAACAAACCACUAGAGAGAGUGUCCCCAGUCACAAUUGGAGUCUUAUGUAAGAAGAAAUAAGGAAAGCCUACUGGGUUGAAUCUAAAAGUAGAAAACUCAUAACAAGGCUAUGUGUGAACAUCAAGAGAGAAUUCAAGAUGGCGGGGAUGACACUCUUUAGUCCAUGUGUGCCUGGUUUUCAUCAUCUCCUUGACUUACACACAUGUGGGUGCCUUUACCUCUGAAGACUUUUUCUCUUCUAACUGAUGAUGCUCCAUUCUCUUCUGACAAAAGCUCCCUGCCAAGGCCUGAUUGAACCUCUGCCCUGUGGUUCCUUGAAACAUCGUCAUAUUCUUGUACUAAAUUCCCCAUUUUCUUAAGCUAGCUCUGGUAAGUUUUUGCCAUUUACAGUCAAAGUGAACUCACUAAUAAAAUAUUCCCAACUGCA
rnacentral:lncRNA from 1 species